GACGAACGCUGGCGGCGUGCUUAACACAUGCAAGUCGAGCGGUAAGGCCCUUUCGGGGGUACACGAGCGGCGAACGGGUGAGUAACACGUGGGUGACCUGCCCUCAGCUCUGGGAUAAGCCUGGGAAACCGGGUCUAAUACCGGAUAUGACUCCAUGACGCAUGUUGUGGGGUGAAAGCCUUGUGCGGCUGAGGAUGGGCCCGCGGCCUAUCAGCUUGUUGGUGGGGAUGGCCUACCAAGGCGACGACGGGUAGCCGGCCUGAGAGGGCGACCGGCCACACUGGGACUGAGACACGGCCCAGACUCCUACGGGAGGCAGCAGUGGGGAAUCUUGCGCAAUGGGCGAAAGCCUGACGCAGCGACGCCGCGUGA
rnacentral:rRNA from 1 species